rnacentral:lncRNA from 1 species
CGAAGCCUGGACUCCGGUGCCCUGUGUCACCUGGAAGCCACUUUUUCCUGGCUUCUUUCCGCCGGGCCCGGGUAGCGAGUAGGAGCGGAGACACCGGAGGAGCUGGCUGCGGGCGCGGAUCGGCUGAAGGGCGGGCACUUUGUCACUCUCUGCCGUCCCUGGGGCGCCAGCCCCUGGAACUUCAUUUAAUCCUGCCCGUAGCCUGCGCAGGGGCAUGAUUAACCCCACUGUACUGAUGAAGAAGCUGCACACCGGGAUGAGAACGGACUCGCCCUGGGGCAGGCCCCUGGAAAGGGACACGGAAGCUUCCCCCUCUGUCCUUUCCCCGCGGGGUAGGAAGCUCACGCGGCUGGGUCUGUUAGGAAACAGGUGAUUCUGAAACACACUCUGCCCCCUUUCUAGGUUCCUUGUUUUGUUUUUUGUCAGCACCGACCUUAUGCCUCAAAUUCGAACAAUUUUUGCAGAUGAGCGUUUUGAAGUGGAAGCAGCCCUGGCUCACAGCUCUUUUUCUUGCAGCGCUUUCUGCCGAUGCAGAGCGAGUUGCCAGGCACCCUCGCGGGCCACACACUGCUUUCUCCCGGUGGAUGAGGUCGCCUGCAGACCCGGGCUGGGCCUUAUGGGCUGCCCAGGUGUAGGGCACUGUCAGCCUGGCUUCAAGAUCCCAGGACAUCUAGAUUGGCACCAGUUUUGCCUACAAUGCCUUUGAAGGUAUAUAUGAAAUUUCGUUAUCUGAUGCCAGAUAAAUGAUCAUUUAAUUGGUCUAAUUCUUUAGCUGCAUACCAAUGCAAAACAAAUGUUCCCUUCAGCAGGCAGACUUGAAAAUAGACUCUGGUGUCAUCCAGCUGCAUAUCUGAUCAAUCGUGGGAGGAACUUGGAUGCAGAGUACCAGUGCAGAAGGAGGAGCCUAUUUAACCCAAGAAUUUGGUACAUUUCCUGGAAAGGCUCAAUUACUUUCAAGAUCAGCUAAGACACAGAAACCAAUUUUUUUCUUUAAAAAAAUAAUGUGUUUUGUGUUCAGGGAUAUUUUUAAAGAUUUAUUUCUGCAAAACUAAUCACUAGCCUAAAC